CCGACAUAAGUCUGUAUUGACACACAAGUUUCCUUAUUAGCAUACAAUAUAUCAUAAUAAAGCUAGAAAAUGAAUUUUUAUCAUGUGAUGAAAAGGUUUGUUUCAUUUUAUGUUCUAGGGGAAAAAAUUCAGAUACAAAUGAUCAUCUAUUAACAACCCAACUGUUUUAGUGUUAAUUAAUGGUUAUUGUUACAUGGAUUAGAUGCUGUUGUUGAAGUAACUUGCAAGGCUGGUGACAAGAAAAUUGUGAGUUAUGGUACCACAAAGAUCAAUGGCAAAUUUAGCAUCACGGUUGAAGGAUUUGAAUAUCGCAAAUAUGGAGCAAAGGCUUGCAAGGCUAAACUCCACAAUACUCCAAAGGAUUCAAAGUGUAGCAUUCCUACAAACCUUCAUUGGGGAACUAAGGGUGCUAACCUCAAAGUGAAAUCAAAGAAUAGUAAUGAAGUUGUACUUUAUGCAAAACCAUUUGCUUAUGGAUCUAAGGCACCUUAUGCAGAAUGCAAAAAGCCCAAGGCUACACCUGCUCCAUACUAUUAUAAAUCUCCUCCACCUCCAACACCGAAUUAUGUUUAUAAAUCACCACCUCCUCCAUCGCCGGCUUACGUUUAUAAAUCACCACCUCCUCCAUCGCCGACUUACGUCUAUAAAUCACCACCUCCUCCAUCACCGACUUACGUUUAUAAAUCACCACCUCCUCCAUCACCGAAGUAUGUGUACAAAUCAGCACCUCCCCCAACCCCGACAUAUGUUUAUAAGUCUCCACCACCACCUGCUUACUAUUACAAAUCUCCGCCACCACCAACUAAGUCUCCACCACCCCAUUAUUAUUACAAUUCUCCGCCUUCACCAUCACCAAAACCGGCUCCGGUAUACUAUUACAAAUCACCACCACCGCCAUCACCGUCACCACCCCCACCUUACUACUACAAGUCCCCGCCACCACCAUCACCAAAACCGGCUCCGGUAUACUAUUACAAAUCACCACCACCGCCAUCACCGUCACCACCCCCACCUUACUACUACAAGUCCCCACCACCACCAUCACCUUCUCCCCCACCUCCCUACUACUAUAAGUCUACUCCACCACCAUCGUCGUCUCCUCCUCCACCAUACUACUAUAAGUCCCCUCCUCCACCAUCUCCAUCGCCACCCCCACCCUAUUACUACAAAUCUCCUCCACCACCAUCACCAUCACCUCCACCUCCAUACUACUACAAGUCUCCUCCUCCUCCAUCACCAUCUCCCCCUCCACCAUACGAUUACAAGUCACCACCUCCACCGUCACCAUCACCUCCACCACCCUACUACUACAAGUCUCCUCCACCACCAUCCCCCUCACCACCUCCACCCUACUACUAAAAGUCGCCUCCUCCACCGUCACCUUCUCCACCACCUCCCUACUACUACAAGUCACCUCCUCCAUCGUCACCUUCUCCACCACCUCCCUACUACUACCACUCUCCACCUCCACCAGUACAGUCUCCUCCUCCUCCUUAUUACUACAGCUCACCACCUACACCAGUGAAAUCACCUCCUCCGCCCGUAUAUAUUUACGCUUCCCCACCACCUCCAGUCCACUACUAAGAGUUUCCAGGAGUUCAGGCAUUCUCGGCAAUCAAUCAAGUGAGUAAUUGUUUAAAAUGUAAUUUUUUUCAUAUGAGAUUAACUUUGUUUUGCUUCUUUUCUUUGAAUUAGAUCUCUAAUUUUCUAUUUGAUUGUUUGUUUCCAGAUUUUAGUUUGAAACACCAAAUAAAUGAUGGCUUCUUGGGGAAAAGAUUCAAACGUCGAUGGAGCAAAGCAAUUAAUUUAAGGAAUAAGAUAUUCAAUUUUUCAAUUGAAGGGUUGAUUCUUCGUGACAUGGACCAGUUUGCUUCUACUUCUCUUUUGGCCUUCUUGCACAUUGUUCUCUUAGUUCGUUAACAUAAACGUAUCUAAGCUUUGAUUCUUUGUAGAGUUCGUUUCUCCAUAAUUUAUUGUUUUGUAUUGAGGAUAUUGUCCUCUUUUUAUUCAUUCCUAUUAACCAUUGUACGUUGUUUUUUUGUAGUACCUCUGUGUACUUUGUGCACAAUCCAAUAAAAAGAUCAAUUUCGUUAUAUACACUUCUUCUCUUUUCUUCUUCAUCUUUCCCUCUUAAUCUGUUACAAACAAAUUAAAUUAGUCUUGUCGAACUAUAUAUAAACAAAUUGGAAAUGAAAAUACCUACAAUUAUUUUAUGAACUUUAAUAGUUUUAAUAUUGAAGUAGUUCAAGAAAUUUAAUUGUUGAUCAUUUGUCUAAAUUGUUAUAAUAACAAUACAAGCAGUAUUUUGUUUCUUUUAAAUCCCCUGCCUUCCUUUGUGUUCGACUAUUAUGCCAAUGACACUUUGAAAUAAGGGUCAUAUUUUGUACCUGUUAGUUUUUAAUUUCCCACCAUCCUUUGUGUACGACUAUUCUCUCCAAACCAUUAUAGUUAUUCGUAAUAAUAUGAUAAGAUUUUCAUGCUAGAUACUUUUUCUUGGAGGAAAGGAACUUUAAUGAAGUUAAUUGAUAGCAGGUUAUUACUAAAUCUUUUAAGUUUACUACUUGUCAAGAAAAGCGGAGUAUUUGUUGUUGUAGGUCAAUAUAACCUUAUGGUGUAAAAAUAUAUGCUCACACAGUUAGUUCACAUAACUUAAGUUUGAAGGGGAGCUUGGUGUAACAAGUUAAGCAGUUGUCAUUUGACCAGGAGGUCACGAGUUCGAGAAACAUCCUCUAAUGCUGCGUACAAUAGACCCAUAUGGUCCAGCCCUUUUCCAGAUCCCCAUAGCGGGAGAUUAGCAUACGAGGUUGUCUUUUUACUAACUUUUUUAUAAUGUAAGCUCGAAAGAAAAUAAAGUAAACUGAAACACGGAUCUGUGCUUUUUAAAUUAGUACAAAAGCAUGCCAAGUCUCAACUAACAAAUUCUUUUCUAAUCUUACAUGGUAUUAAAUGAAAAUGAAAAAGAUAUUUUUUUAUAACUCAUUUCAUGAACUGAUGCUCCUGAAAUAAAUAAUAAGAAGAUAUCAUCAUAAAAUACACUCGGCAUAACACAUAAAUAUGACCCUAAACUUGACACCAAAUUAUAACAUUGACCUUACACUUUGAUAGUGCACAAAUAGGACCUUUAACUAUUCAAAACCUGAACAAAUAAACACCCCGAUCCUAUGUGGCAAAACGCGUGUUGCACACGCAAAACGGCCCGCGUUCGAGUUGGAAUUGAAGGGUUUUUUUGUUUAGUUUUUGUAUAGUUAAGGCCUAGUUGUGCACCGACAAAGUUAAAGGUCAUACUUAUAAUGUGUUUUUUUAUUAGGUGGCACCAUAUGAGUGGAUUAGUAAUCCACGUCAGAGCAAGUGAGGUACACGCGUGUAGUUGCAAAAUCGGAGUAUCUUUUUGUGCAGGUUUUGUAUAGUUGGCCUACUUAUGCACUAUCAAAGUUUAAGUGUACUAUCAAAGUUUAAGGUCAAUGUUAUAAUUCAUAUUUAUGUAUUAUGCCAAUACACUCGGUAUGUUGUUUACGCCGGCCUUCCCAGACCACUCGUAGGAUUACACUGGGCAUAUUGUUGUAGUACGUACACUCGGUUUGGCGAAACAAUUCGAUGUCAAAGAAAAUGUUGACGUUCUAAGUUUCUAGAACACCAUUUCUAGUUGGCAACAAAUAAUCGAAGCCAUCAACUUUCAGUAUAAAUGCUUAUAAACCAUGCACCCGUCAUAGUAAUAAAAAGGGUUAUUUUAAGUUAUAAGUUAUCAAGGUUCUUGAGAUCAACUAGUGAUCCAAAAAGAAAAUCAUUCAUCUAUUCGCAAAUAAAUUGAACAUUUUCACCAUGCAUAUGAUCAGUAGCGGAAGCAGGGAUCCUAAUAAGGGGAUUCAAAAAGGUACAAAAGUGUUACACUUACGUUUCAAUUUGAGCAUGUCACACAGCGCAUAUGGCAAUAGUUGGUAUAGAAUUUGGAAAAUGCCGUAGUAACGCACCUUAGCAAUUACCGGUAAUAAACUCUAUCAAUAUCAGUCUUGUUCUUUUACCAACCAGCUUGAGUCUGCGAUAUAGAAUAUAUAUAUAUAUAUCCUGACAAUGCUACAGAUCAUCAAACAAGUAAAACAGGGGAAGAGAUAUUAGUUAAUUUGGCUAAAUAAGUCAAAGUUGUUGUAAUUAUUUGUAAAUAUAGAACACCACAUAAUUAAAUAUAACAGAAUACGUAUACUAGUUUUUUUCUUGAAAUUAUCAAUCUUUUAAGUUUUGUAGGUGAUAUAGAGAUAUGCUUAUUGAAAACAAAAUGGCAAGAAAGUGGAAGUAAUAAAAAAUAGCACUUUCUUUCCUUUAACCAUUACAUGGCAUGUCUUUUUGUGUGCACAUUCAUAUUUUGUGCACUCCAUAGCAGGUAACAAACUACUUGCUAAAAAGAUAAAGUGGAAAUAUUCAAAGUGAUAUAGAGAUGGACUUUAAUUAACAAUAUGAGAACUCGUAGAUCCAGCUGUUAAGAGCUAUGAAUAUUCUUUCUACACUUAGAUUAUCAAUCAGAGCAAUUGAAUUGGUCAUUUAGACAGCUCUUUACUAACAACUAGUUUUCAAGGUGUGUUACUAUAAAUACAUAGGCCAAUGAAUCCUCUAAAGGCAUCACUUCUCAACUGAAAAACUAAACUUGUCUUCUUUCUUCUUUCUCUAACUAGCCCCAUUUGGAGACUAGGUGGUGUAGUUUUACUGAGAAAUGAGGCUUCGCGGUGGCGGCCCUGCCAAGGGUCGUCAAUAUUUACCUCAAAUCUUAGUGGCACUGGCCAUAUUGGCUGUUGCUAAUGUAGUGUCAGCAGACCCUUAUGUGUACUCUUCUCCACCACCUCCAACGUAUGAGUACAAGUCACCUCCACCUCCUUCUCCUUCUCCACCGCCACCUAAUGUGUACAAAUCUCCACCUCCUCCAUCACCUUCUCCCCCGCCUCCAUAUGUUUAUAAGUCACCACCUCCUCCUUCUCCAUCACCACCUGCACCAUAUGUGUAUAAGUCUCCACCACCUCCAUCGCCAUCCCCUCCACCACCAUAUGUGUAUAAGUCUCCACCACCUCCAUCGCCAUCUCCACCACCACCUUAUGUGUAUAAGUUUCCCCCACCUCCAUCACCAUCUCCACCUCCACCAUAUUACUACAAGUCUCCACCUCCACCUUCACCAUCACCUCCACCACCAUACUAUCACAAAUCUCCACCACCGCCUUCACCAUCACCACCCCCGCCAUACUAUUAUAAGUCUCCACCGCCACCUUCUCCUUCACCUCCUCCGCCAUACUACUACAAAUCACCACCACCUCCUUCGCCAUCUCCUCCUCCACCUUAUUACUACAAGUCUCCACCUCCUCCAUCUCCAUCACCACCACCACCAUAUUAUUACAAGUCUCCACCUCCACCAUCCCCAUCACCACCCCCUCCUUACUACUAUAAGUCUCCACCACCACCGCUUAAGUCACCUCCUCCCCCAUACUAUUACAGCUCUCCACCACCACCAGUGAAGUCUCCCCCUCCACCAUAUUACUACUCCUCACCACCACCACCAAAGAGAUCACCUCCCACACCAUAUCAUUAUACUUCACCACCUCCUCCAUACUAUUAUAGCUCACCACCACUACCCAAGGAAUCUCCUCCUCCACCAUAUCACUACAGUUCCCCACCACCACCAAAGAAGUUACCUCCAACUCCAUACUACUACAAGUCUCCACCACCACCACCAAAGAAGUCUUCUCCCCCACCAUACUACUAUACUUCACCACCACCACCAACUCAUUACUAUCCUCCACAUCAUCAAUUUGUUGUCAAAGUUGUCGGCAAAGUCCAUUGUUUUAGAUGUUACAACAGGAAGCACCCAGAAAUGUCUCACGGCAAAAAGCACCUUAAAGGUACCAUAGUCUUGAAUAAUUACACUAAUCUCCAAUUUGUUAUGUUCUUUUAAUUUUAUCAUCAAAAUUUUAUUAGCUAUAUAUUUACUUUUUGUUGCUUUCUUCAUUGCGCUCUUAACGAAAUUCAUAAAUGUGUCCAUUUUUAUUUGGAUAGUUGAUUCAUUUCUAUUUUCAAAUGUGAAAGUAUUGAAAUUCUAAAGCAUCAAGAAAUUUUACACAGAAACGACUUUAACUAUAAUUGUUACUAUAGAGUAAAAUAUAUUGCGAAAUGGAAGUAGUUCUUGCUUGAAAAUGAAGAACUAAUUUUAAGUGUGAUUUAUUCUCACAUUGGCUGACAAAAGUCCGUAUUAACAUGCAAUUAAUUUCCAUUACCAGAAUGUAAAAUAGUUAGUAAAGUUACAAUAAAGAAAUUUUUAUCAUGUCAUGAAAAUGUAUGUUUUACUUUUGUUUUAGGGGGGGGUAAGGCUUGGAUCGAAACCAUUUAUUAACAACUCAACUCCUUCAGUGUUAAUUAAUGGAUUUUAUUUACAUGGACUAGGUGUUGUUGUUGAAGUGACUUGCAAGGCUGGUGACAAGAAAAUUGUGAGUUAUGGUACCACUAAGCUCAAUGGAAAAUUUAGCAUCACAGUUGAAGGAUUUGAAUAUCGCAAAUAUGGAGCAAAGGCUUGCAAGGCUAAACUCCACAAUGCACCAAAGGACUCAAAGUGUAGCAUUCCUACAAACCUUCAUUGGGGAAUUAAGGGUGCUGACCUCAAAGUGAAAUCAAAGAAUAGUUAUGAAGUUGUACUUUAUGCAAAACCAUUUGCUUAUGGAUCUAAGACACCUUAUGCAGACUGCCAAAAGCCCAAGCCUACACCUGCUCCAUACUAUUAUAAAUCUCCUCCACCUCCAUCACCGACUUAUGUGUACAAGUCACCACCUCCUCCAUCACAAAAGUAUGUGUACAAGUCACCACCUCCCCCAACCCCGACAUACAUUUAUAAGUCUCCACCACCACCUGCUUACUAUUACAAAUCACCACCACCACCAACUAAGUCUCCACCACCUCAGUAUUAUUACAAGUCUCCACCUCCACCAUCACCAAAACUUGCACCAGUAUACUAUUAUAAAUCACCACCACCCCCAUCACCGUCACCACCCCCGCCUUACUACUACAAGUCUCCGCCACCACCAUCACCAUCACCAAAACCUGCACCACCAGUAUACUAUUAUAAAUCACCACCACCCCCAUCACCAUCACCACCCCCACCUUACUACUAUAAGUCCCCGCCACCACCAUCACCAAAACUUGCACCUAUUUACUAUUAUAAAUCACCACCACCCCCAUCACCGUCACCACCCCCACCUUACUAUUACAAGUCCCCACCACCACCAUCACCUUCUCCCCCACCUCCCUACUACUAUAAGUCUCCUCCACCACCAUCGCCAUCUCCUCCUCCACCAUACUAUUAUAAGUCCCCUCCUCCACCAUCUCCAUCACCACCACCACCCUAUUACUAUAAAUCUCCUCCACCACCAUCACCAUCUCCUCCACCUCCAUACUACUACAGGUCCCCUCCUCCUCUAUCUCCAUCUCCCCCUCCACCAUACUAUUACAAGUCACCACCAUCGCCAUCGCCAUCACCUCCACCACCCUACUACUACAAGUCUCCUCCUCCUCCAUCGCCUUCUCCCCCUCCACCAUACUAUUACAAAUCACCACCACCUUCAUCGCCAUCUCCUCCACCACCCUACUACUAUAAGUCCCCUCCUCCACCAUCCCCAUCACCACCUCCACCCUACUACUACAAGUCGCCUCCUCCACCGUCGCCUUCUCCACCACCUCCCUACUACUACCACUCUCCACCUCCACCAGUGAAAUCACCUCCUCCACCCGUAUAUAUUUACGCUUCCCCACCACCUCCAGUCCACUACUAAGAGUUUCCAGCAGUUCAACCAUUCUCCACACUCAAUCAAGUGAGUAGUUGUUUAAUUGUAAUUUUUUUCGUAUGAGAUCAAAUUUCUGUCAUUACUGCUCUAAUCUUCUAUUUGAUUGUUUCUUUUCAGAUUUUAUUUGAAAACACAAAAUAAAUGAUGGCUUCAUGAGGAAAAGAUCCAAACGUCAAUGGAACAAAGCAAUUACUUUACAGAAUAAGAUAUUCAAUUUUUCAAUUGGAUUGAUUCUUCAUUACAUGGAUCAGUUUGUUUCUACUUCUCUUUUGGCCUUCUUGCACAUUGUUCUCUUAGUGCGUUCAUAUGAAUGUAUUUAAGCUUUGAUGGUUCUUAGAGUUGGCUUCUUCGUAAUUUAUUGUUGUAUUGAGGAUAUUGUCCUCAUUUUAUUCAUUCCUACUAAUUAUUGUGUGUUGUUCUUGUAAUACCUUCGUGUACACUGUGCACAUGAUCAGUAAGAAGAUCAAUUUCAACGAAACAAAUUAGAUUGUUGAUAUUUGUCUAAAUACUGUUAUAAUAAUGAUACAUGUAGUAUUUUGUUGCCUUUUAAAUCCCCGCCUUACUUUGUCUAUGACUGCUAUGUCAACGAUCCUUUGAAAUAAGAGCCAAAGUUUUUAUCAGUUAGUUUUUAAUUCUCCGGCCUCCUAUGUGUAUGAUUGUUCUUUCCAAAACAUUAUAGCUAUGAAUUUUACCAUUGCUAUGAACAGAUGAAAAAUGAAAUACCAUUACUUCAUUUCUACAGGAAAAAGGGAAAGUUUUCAAGAAGAGUUGGCUCAUAUAGCUGCACACUCAACCACAUAAACUUAAAAUAGCCGGCAGGUGUAUAAUAUACGUAAUAUUCAUGUAAAAUUAGAGUAUAAUCUAUGCAUCUGCGGAAAAAAGUAGGAAGCGAAUCUGAUCAGCUAUUUGUGCAAAGAUCCCAAUUUUCUAAGCAAAAAGAUUAUUUGACAUUAUUAUGAUACCACUAUAGAAGUAAAUGCUAUGGAGGCAGACGGUGCACUAAGCCCCCCCACUAUCUGCGGGGUAUGGGGAAGAACCGGACACAAAGGUCUAUUGCAUGCAGUCUUAACUUUCAUUUUUGCAAGGGGCUGUUUACACAGUCAAACCUGUGAGCUGCUGGUCAUAUGGAAGCAACUUAACCGGCUAUGCCAAGACUCGCACCAAUGUAAAAGUAAAUGAUACAGAAAAACAGGUCAGCCCAGUGCACUAUGCUCUCAUUUUGUGUGGGGUUCGAGCAAGGACAGUACCACAAGGGUAUAUUAUCAUAGGUGGAGCCAGGAUUUCAACUAAGGAGGUUCAAUAUUUGAAGAAAACCUAAUCGAAGGAGAUUCAAUAGUAUAUACAUACAUAAAAAUAAUUUUAAUCAUGUAUAAAUAGAAUAUUUUUCCAUCGAUAUAUUAUUAUCUAGCCUUAUCCUACAUUUCUGCAAGAGACUAUUUCCACAGACCAAACCCUUGACCUCCUAGUCACAUUGCAACAACUUUACUAAUCACGCCAAGGCUCCCCUUCAAGUAAAUGCUUCAGUAAAAGGACAGCCCAGUGCACUAAGUUCCCGCUACAUGCAACAUAAUAGGGUCAGGGAAAGAACCGGGGCACAAGGGUCUACUGCAUGCAACCUUAUCCUCCAUUUCUACAAGACUAUUUUCACAGCUCGAACCCAUAACCUCCCGAUCACACUGGUAAUAACUUUACCAGUUACCUCAAAACUCUCAUUCAAGCAAAUGCUACAGUCUUUCCAUAAAAAGAACAUAGAAAGACAGCUAAAUUAACAAUUUUUAAUAGAGAACUUAGCACCUUUUACCUCUUAUUAUAUCUACAGCUGGGGUGUGUAACUGGUGCAAUCUUUGCUCCUCUUGUUUGCCUUCAUCUCUAAGACUUCCAGUUUCAUUUUAAAAAUCAAUUCUUUUUAUAAUCGUGAUGUCCGGGACAGCUACCUUUAUUACAUAUUAUUGUUCUUACGUACCAACAGCUUGCGCGCACCUCGAAUAUUUGCCAAAAAUAGGUAUUCUUUUCAACUCUUCUUUCUGAAAAUUGGCAUGAUUUGCGAAAUUGAAAUUUGCAGGUUCAGUUGAUUAAUUUGAAAACAUGAGCUUUAAAUUUCCAUUUGAAUAAAUAGGAAACUAAUUGAACAGGAAAGCGGGAAGAAGGGAGACGGUUAAAUUGGGGAAAAAUUAAAAAACAUGAUUAAGUAUGCUGAAAAAUUAAAAACAAAAAAGAAUGGCAACAUUAUAAAAAGAGAAAAUAGUGCGAUAAUUGAACCGUAAGGAAUAGUAAAUAACAACACAAAUACAAAAUAAAGGAUAAGUGCACUAUGAUUAAU
rnacentral:lncRNA from 1 species